rnacentral:lncRNA from 1 species
GAAAUGGACAGCCCAAAGAGCUGACCCAAAUCAGCUUAUUAGCUUAUUAUUUAAGCUUGCAAAGAGGCACUUGAAGACUUAUUCAAGUUGCAUUUAAACCCCUCCACAAUUGGUGGCUUUAUAGAUUUGCCCUAAGCCUAAAUUAGCAAAGUUGAAACUAUCAACCUUGUCACAUGUGUGGCUGGUCAAGGGAGGGCUCUUUGGCUGAUAAUUUUCACUAUUUUUAGCAGCCCUCCUCAGCUAUAAAAAUCCCCUUAGGCUGGUCAUUUGAAAAACACACCCCAAGCAUUCACAUUUUUCCUCUCUUCUCUCCACUUUCUCUCUUCUUUUCCAUUCCAAAAUUCCCUUGCUCUCUUGCCAAUUUCUCCUCUUGGGAAAGGGACAUUCAUCAGCUAUUUGGAGUAGUAAUUAAGUGUUCAUAGCAGCCUUGGUCGAUGGGGACAACGGAGCAACUAAUCAAGCCACGGAAAAACAUCGAAUUUGAUUCUUGUUCCCCAUCUCUUUAGUUUUUGUUGUUGUUAUGCUAAACAUAUCUAUGAAUAUUUAUGUUGUU